AGACCCGAAACCCGGUGAUCUAGCCAUGGGCAGGUUGAAGGUUGGGUAACACUAACUGGAGGACCGAACCGACUAAUGUUGAAAAAUUAGCGGAUGACCUGUGGCUGGGGGUGAAAGGCCAAUCAAACCGGGAGAUAGCUGGUUCUCCCCGAAAGCUAUUUAGGUAGCGCCUCGUGAAUUCAUCUCCGGGGGUAGAGCACUGUUUCGGCUAGGGGGCCAUCCCGGCUUACCAACCCGAUGCAAACUGCGAAUACCGGAGAAUGUUAUCACGGGAGACACACGGCGGGUGCUAACGUCCGUCGUGAAGAGGGAAACAACCCAGACCGCCAGCUAAGGUCCCAAAGUCAUGGUUAAGUGGGAAACGAUGUGGGAAGGCCCAGACAGCCAGGAUGUUGGCUUAGAAGCAGCCAUCAUUUAAAGAAAGCGUAAUAGCUCACUGGUCGAGUCGGCCUGCGCGGAAGAUGUAACGGGGCUAAACCAUGCACCGAAGCUGCGGCAGCGACACUGUGUGUUGUUGGGUAGGGGAGCGUUCUGUAAGCCUGUGAAGGUGUGUCGUGAGGCAUGCUGGAGGUAUCAGAAGUGCGAAUGCUGACAUAAGUAACGAUAAAGCGGGUGAAAAGCCCGCUCGCCGGAAGACCAAGGGUUCCUGUCCAACGUUAAUCGGGGCAGGGUGAGUCGACCCCUAAGGCGAGGCCGAAAGGCGUAGUCGAUGGGAAACGGGUUAAUAUUCCCGUACUUGGUGUUACUGCGAAGGGGGGACGGAGAAGGCUAUGUUGGCCGGGCGACGGUUGUCCCGGUUUAAGCGUGUAGGUGUGUGUUCCAGGUAAAUCCGGUUCACUUUAACACUGAGGCGUGAUGACGAGGCACUACGGUGCUGAAGCAACAAAUGCCCUGCUUCCAGGAAAAGCCUCUAAGCAUCAGGUAACAUCAAAUCGUACCCCAAACCGACACAGGUGGUCAGGUAGAGAAUACCAAGGCGCUUGAGAGAACUCGGGUGAAGGAACUAGGCAAAAUGGUGCCGUAACUUCGGGAGAAGGCACGCUGACACGUAGGUGAAGUGAUUUACUCAUGGAGCUGAAGUCAGUCGAAGAUACCAGCUGGCUGCAACUGUUUAUUAAAAACACAGCACUGUGCAAACACGAAAGUGGACGUAUACGGUGUGACGCCUGCCCGGUGCCGGAAGGUUAAUUGAUGGGGUCAGCGCAAGCGAAGCUCCUGAUCGAAGCCCCGGUAAACGGCGGCCGUAACUAUAACGGUCCUAAGGUAGCGAAAUUCCUUGUCGGGUAAGUUCCGACCUGCACGAAUGGCGUAAUGAUGGCCAGGCUGUCUCCACCCGAGACUCAGUGAAAUUGAACUCGCUGUGAAGAUGCAGUGUACCCGCGGCAAGACGGAAAGACCCCGUGAACCUUUACUAUAGCUUGACACUGAACAUUGAGCCUUGAUGUGUAGGAUAGGUGGGAGGCUUUGAAGUGUGGACGCCAGUCUGCAUGGAGCCGACCUUGAAAUACCACCCUUUAAUGUUUGAUGUUCUAACGUGGACCCGUGAUCCGGGUUGCGGACAGUGUCUGGUGGGUAGUUUGACUGGGGCGGUCUCCUCCUAAAGAGUAACGGAGGAGCACGAAGGUUGGCUAAUCCUGGUCGGACAUCAGGAGGUUAGUGCAAUGGCAUAAGCCAGCUUGACUGCGAGCGUGACGGCGCGAGCAGGUGCGAAAGCAGGUCAUAGUGAUCCGGUGGUUCUGAAUGGAAGGGCCAUCGCUCAACGGAUAAAAGGUACUCCGGGGAUAACAGGCUGAUACCGCCCAAGAGUUCAUAUCGACGGCGGUGUUUGGCACCUCGAUGUCGGCUCAUCACAUCCUGGGGCUGAAGUAGGUCCCAAGGGUAUGGCUGUUCGCCAUUUAAAGUGGUACGCGAGCUGGGUUUAGAACGUCGUGAGACAGUUCGGUCCCUAUCUGCCGUGGGCGCUGGAGAACUGAGGGGGGCUGCUCCUAGUACGAGAGGACCGGAGUGGACGCAUCACUGGUGUUCGGGUUGUCAUGCCAAUGGCACUGCCCGGUAGCUAAAUGCGGAAGAGAUAAGUGCUGAAAGCAUCUAAGCACGAAACUUGCCCCGAGAUGAGUUCUCCCUGAGACUUAAAGUCUCCUGAAGGAACGUUGAAGACGACGACGUUGAUAGGCCGGGUGUGUAAGCGCAGCGAUGCGUUGAGCUAACCGGUACUAAUGAACCGUGAGGCUUAACCUUACAACGCCGAAG
rnacentral:rRNA from 1 species